GACGGAGGAUGCAAGCGUUAUCCGGAAUGAUUGGGCGUAAAGCGUCCGCAGGUGGCAGUUCAAGUCUGCUGUCAAAGACCGGGGCUUAACUUCGGAAAGGCAGUGGAAACUGAACAGCUAGAGUAUGGUAGGGGCAGAGGGAAUUCCUGGUGUAGCGGUGAAAUGCGUAGAUAUCAGGAAGAACAUCGGUGGCGAAGGCGCUCUGCUGGACCAUAACUGACACUGAGGGACGAAAGCUAGGGGAGCGAAAGGG
rnacentral:rRNA from 1 species